UUGGAGGGCAAGUCUGGUGCCAGCAGCCGCGGUAAUUCCAGCUCCAGUAGCGUAUAUUAAAGUUGUUGCAGUUAAAAAGCUCGUAGUUGAACCUUGGGCCUGGCCGGCCGGUCCGCCUCACCGCGUGUACUGGUCCGGCCGGGCCUUUCCUUCUGGGGAACCUCAUGCCCUUCACUGGGCGUGUUGGGGAACCAGGACUUUUACUUGAAAAAUUAGAGUGUUCAAAGCAGGCCUUUGCUCGAAUACAUUAGCAUGGAAUAAUAGAAUAGGACGUGUGGUUCUA
rnacentral:rRNA from 1 species